rnacentral:rRNA from 1 species
UACGAAGGGGGCUAGCGUUGCUCGGAAUCACUGGGCGUAAAGGGUGCGUAGGCGGGUUUUUAAGUCAGAGGUGAAAUCCUGGAGCUCAACUCCAGAACUGCCUUUGAUACUGGGAAUCUUGAGUAUGGAAGAGGUGAGUGGAACUGCGAGUGUAGAGGUGAAAAUUCGUAGAUAUUCGCAAGAACACCAGUGGCGAAGGCGGCUCACUGGUCCAUAACUGACGCUGAGGCACGAAAGCGUGGGGAGCA